rnacentral:rRNA from 1 species
CCUACGGGAGGCAGCAGUGGGGGAUAUUGCACAAUGGGGGGAACCCUGAUGCAGCGACGUCGCGUGGGUGAAGAAGCGCCUCGGCGCGUAAAGCCCUGUCAGCAGGGAAGAAAAUGACGGUACCUGAAGAAGAAGCCCCGGGUAACUACGUGCCAGCAGCCGCGGGAAUACGUAGGGGGCAAGCGGUAUCCGGAUUUACUGGGGGUAAAGGGGGCGCAGACGGGGUUGCAAGCCAGGAGGGAAAGCCCGGGGGCCAACCCCGGGACUGCUCUUGGAACUGCGGGGCUGGAGUGCAGGAGGGGCAGGCGGAAUUCCUGGUGUAGCGGUGAAAUGCGUAGAUAUCAGGAGGAACACCGGUGGCGAAGGCGGCAUGCUGGACUGCAACUGACGUUGAGGCCCGAAAGCGUGGGGAGCAAACAGGAUUAGAUACCCGAGUAGUC